CGGCCCCAAUGCAGCACUGAAACAGGGGAGAUUUCCAAAUCGACCCAGCCUCCCAAUUCUCGCCAUCACCGUCCGCGUCUCCUCUGGAUUCAAGAUCCCAAAUCCCGGAUGACCCCGCCUCUUCCUCUUCAUCCCGCGAUGCAAUCCUCCCAGCAUCCGCGAGUUAAGCAUCAUCUUCCUCCCAGCCGAUUCUAGAAUCCAUCCUCUCCCCACUUCGUUCAUCGCGUCCCAACAUUCCAGAUCCUCCCAGAUUUCCUCUCAUCCCGCGAUGCAGCCAGCGAAUCAGGCGUUCGUCCGAAGCGUCUUCAAUGCAUCCAUGGCGCGAUUCAAGUCUGCAGCACAUCUCCGGCCAUCCGGAUUUCCUUCCACAGCCG
rnacentral:lncRNA from 1 species